UCGAUAAAUCAUACACGCAGAAUAAUAUUGUAGGGUUGAAUCUAAGAACGCGAUUAUUAGAACCAACAAUUCUUGUUUAAAUUGAAUCAAUCCAUCUGUUGGUUUGUUUCUAAUUCGGCAUAUUUUUGAAACAACAAAAUUCUGUGUCGAAUGAAAUAUUGAUGCUCGAUUUUUUUUUCAACAAAUGACAAUUGUUGUUUUAACAAUAUCAUUUUGUUGAAUAAACAUUUUUUUUAUUGUUGCCAUUUUGUAUUUAAGAAAUAAUCAGAGAGUUAGAGGCGAACAAAUUUUGCUUAUUGUUGAAAAAUAAGUGUCGAUGGGAUAUUCGGGUAGCUGUAAUAACUUUGGUGAGUAUACAUUUUCCGUCGUAGUUUAAUUUAAAUACAAUAUUAUUUUAGUAAUCAUAUGACAAAAUGCUGACAAAAAUGAUUUUACUAUUCAUGAUAGUUUUGGCGGUGUGAAUGCGAAAAGAAGGAAUGCUAUAGAAUUUCCUAAAUUUGUCGGUUGGUUUAGCAGCGGCGAUGAUACCGGACUAUAUCAUGUUACACCUAUUAAUUCGAAACACUAAUUCAAUGUUGAAAUAUAAUCUGUAAACCUACUUGCGCAUUGAAUUAGUAGGAAUGUUAAUAAAAAAUGAUAUUUAAAUCAAUGAAAUGCUUAAUAUCAAUUAACAGAAUUGUAGAAACAA
rnacentral:lncRNA from 1 species